rnacentral:rRNA from 1 species
CCCUUAGAUGUUCUGGGCCGCACGCGCGCUACACUGAUUCAUGCAACAAGUUUUAUCCUUGGCUGAUAGGCCUGGGUAAUCUUUGAACGUGAAUCGUGAUGGGGAUAGAUGAUUGCAAUUAUUCAUCUUCAACGAGGAAUUCCUAGUAAACGCAAGUCAUCAGCUUGCAUUGAUUACGUCCCUGCCCUUUGUACACACCGCCCGUCGCACCUACCGAUUGAAUGGUCCGGUGAAAUCUUCGGAUCUGAGAGAUGUCUGAUUAAUUUCGGACGCCUUUUGGAAAAGUUGCUUAAACCUUACCAUUUAGAGGAAGGUGAANUCGUANCA